ACCACCUGAAUCCAUUCCGAACUCAGAAGUGAAACGCAGCAUCGCCGAUGGUAGUGUGGGGUCUCCCCAUGUGAGAGUAGGUCAUCGUCAAGC
rnacentral:rRNA from 2 species